rnacentral:sRNA from 1 species
GCCAGGCACCGUGGUGCAUGCCUGUAAUCCCAGCCACUCGGAAGGCUGAGACAGGAGGAUCGUGAGUUCAAAGUCAGCCUCAGCAACAGUGAGGUGCUAAGCAACUCAGUGAGAUCCUGUCUCUA